UUCCAAUUUAUUGCACAAAUACAGGUAAUUGAGAAUACAUAAGGAGGUCACAAGCACACUAAUAAUUAAUGAUACAAUACUGCAUCGUGGGAUAGAGUAGUUAUGGAGCAAGAAAUUAAGGCUGGAUGAAAAGGUGUUCAUUCAGUGGUCUUCAUGGAGAAGAUGACAUUGAAGUUGAAAUUUAGAAAGACAAUUUGGGGCAGUGAUAGUGUGAAGAGAACCCCAGCAUUGUGCUCUGUGUCUGCCUGAGGUGGGCAUACUAUAUGCUCCCAUUCUCUUUCUCUAAAGGUCUUUGCAAAUGUUUUAUUCAUUUACUCAUCACAAUACUCAUGUGUGGAAUUUCUCAGCACCUUUUGCAUUCAUUCACUAUUGCUGUUUUCUCUGCCGCAUAUUCAUGCCUUAGGUGGAGUUGCUUAUCACUGUGGACUUUUCUCUUGCCCAAGCCUAGAGAUACUGUCUCUGAUGGAUACUUAUUUUCUCUUUAUCUAAUCUUUCUCUAUUUUGGGCUACCUGCUCUCUACAGUUUCACAAUGCAUGUUUAUGACUAAUUAUUGUAUCUUCUAGGCUAGAUUUUAUCCUUAGUUUUUCCCUCCAAUUAUAGGCAUGUGAAGUUUAGCUUAGCUUCACUUCUAUCUCAAAAUAAUUCUCUUAGAGUGUUAACUUGCUUCAUUUAAUAAUGAUUUCUCUUAUAAUGACACCAAACCUGUAUCAAAUUUUAUCUUUACCAGAACUCUGUAUUGGAUGUCAUCAGGCCCUCUAUGGCUGCAUUUCCCUUUGUCUCCCCAAAAUCAAAGCCUAAAAAUGAGCUUAAUUUAGGUCUAUUUGUACUCUUCCUCCACUUUUCAGAUUUCUGACUUUUUAUCUUUUUUUUUUUUUUUUUUUUUUUUGAGAUGGAGUCUCCCAUUGUCACCAAGGCUGGAGUGCACUGGUGCGAUCUCGGCUCACUGCAACCUCCGCCUCCCAGGUUGAAGCGAUUCUCCUGCCUCAGCCUCCCAAGUAGCUGGGACUACAGGUGACUGCCACCACACCCAGCUAAUUUUUUUUUUGUAUUUUUAGUAGAGACGGGGUUUCACUAUGUUGGCCAGGCUGGUCUCAAACUACUGACUUCGUGAUCUGCCCACCUCGGCCUCCCAAAGGGCUGGGAUUACAGGCGUGAGCCUCCGCGCCCGACCCUUUUUAUCAUUCUAUCAACAUAACCAGUGUUCUCCUUUCAUCUUAGACUCAAACGCUUAAUGUAUUAGUCAACCAGUUGCUUGUCUAACUUUAUUCUUUAAUUUGUUAACAAAAUCUACCAGUUACUCUUUUUCUACAUGUUUUAGAUAUAACCAUUAUUUCCAUUUCCACUCACUUUAUUUCAGCUCAGGUCUUAAUUUAGUCUUCUUUUUUCACAAAUGUUUCACUAAACAUUUGUGAAAUGUUAAUCUCUGCACUUAUAAUUUCCCUGUUUUUAACCUAUUUACCUCCCCAGACAACGAGUAACUUAAUAAAAUUCCCCACUUCCUACUUGUCAAUCUGCAAAUAAUAUCAUGUCAGUGAAUGUGCUGGUGAUUCAGGCAAUUAUACAGAUCUUUAUAAAACUUCAUGUCUUGGCAAAAAUGUAUUAUUGACUGGUGGUAAAAUAUUUGCAUAGGAAGUUAUAUAUAGUGUAAGUAAUACAUAUGUGUGUGUGACUGUGACUGUGUGGGUAUGGGUGGAUGGUACAAAUCAUGCCCAACUGUAACUAUUAAGAAUGCUAAAAAAAAAAAAAAACCCUAAGAACCAAAUAUUAUCAAACUGUCAAAGUUUAACUCAACUUUCAGCCAGCCUUCUUUUUUUCUGUAUUUGCACAGUUAUAAUCAAACAGUUAAAUCUUGCUUACUACAUGUUGACU
rnacentral:lncRNA from 10 species